rnacentral:lncRNA from 12 species
AAAGGCCACGACCCACUCAAGGCCAACUGGUUUCUAAACCACCAAGCUCGGCUAUUCUUCUCCCUCUCCAGACACUUGAGGAACAUCUGCUUCUCACAAGAACUCCUGCAGAGGGAAUUCCCACACAGGGCCACUGAGUUCCUCUGGUUCUCUCCUCGGCACCAUGGCCCCAUUCUCUGUAGGGUAAGCACACACCAAAGGGUUGGGAAGGGAGUGCUGGUGGAGCAGAUAUACUUGGGGAGUAAAGACCGUGUCUGGGCUGAUAAGCACAUCAUCUCUAAACUCAAAUACUUAGUCCCUGCUGCCCAGCUUGGUCCAACCUGCCAAAACUCCUCCUCACACACAGUGAUUUUUUAAAUCAGGGUUUUAUUUGCCCUCUUCACUCUGGGUUCCUGCAGACCUUUUAAAUACCUUUAAGUUCAGUACGAAUUGAAACUCCAAAAAUGGAGAGUUGACAUGUUGCCCCUACAACUCUUGAGCUCCAAGCAACCCCAAAAAUAUGGUUAGAUAUCAUUCCCUGAAUAGUCCACUAUAGUUGAAGUGUUAGGAAGUGCCCACACAUACACACAAUUUCCAAAGAUGGUUAGAAGACGGAUCAACCUCCAAACACAAAGAUACUCAUUAAAAGUAGUAUAUAGUACCAAUUCCACAGGUCAGCCUGACCCAAUCUUGCUUCUGGGAUGGCCAUAAUGCCCGGCACAUAGGUAACACUGUAAAGUAAAAGAUUCUUACUCAAAAUUCCCACUCAGGGAUGGGAGGAGUUUAGUCAUCUGCCCCAGCCUCCCCAUAUUGCAAAAGAGAAGGUAGGCUCAUAGCCACUGCAGCCAGAGAGUGUUAGAACAGACUAGAUCUAAGGCCUCCCAACUUUUAAUUCAGUAAAAUAGCAUACCAAGCACCUAAUAUUAAAAAACACCAAGAGUCGUAGCACAGUAUAUAUACUUAGAAAUAGUUGAUCAACUCAGAUUCAAGUUCUAUGCUAGUUCAUAUUUUUUUUCUCCUUAGUCCUUAAUAUUAUCCUCUCUUUACAGAUAUAAAUAGAGGCUCAGAGAAGUAACUUUUCUGGAAUCAUAUAGUGUGGACAUAGUGGAGCCAGAAUUCCAACUGAAGCCAGUCUGCCCCCAAAGCCAUGUUUUUUCUACUACAUUAAACUGAUCUCGUGAAAACCAAGGGAGACAGAGUGGAUGAAAGCUCCUAUAAUUAAACAUAAAGUGGUGAUUUAUAAAAUGGCUUUGCAAAGAAAAUAAAGCUUCAUACGCGUGUCGAGUGGCCCUGAAG